GACGAACGCUGGCGGCGUGCUUAACACAUGCAAGUCGAACGGAAAGGCCCUGCUUUUGUGGGGUGCUCGAGUGGCGAACGGGUGAGUAACACGUGAGUAACCUGCCCUUGACUUUGGGAUAACUUCAGGAAACUGGGGCUAAUACCGGAUAGGAGCUCCAGCUGCAUGGUGGGGGUUGGAAAGUUUCGGCGGUUGGGGAUGGACUCGCGGCUUAUCAGCUUGUUGGUGGGGUAGUGGCUUACCAAGGCUUUGACGGGUAGCCGGCCUGAGAGGGUGACCGGCCACAUUGGGACUGAGGUACGGCCCAGACUCCUACGGGAGACAGCAGUGGGGAAUAUUGCACAAUGGGCGGAAGCCUGAUGCAGCAACGCCGCGUGCGGGAAGACGGCCUUCGGGUUGUAAACCGCUUUCGCCUGUGACGAAGCGUGAGUGACGGUAAUGGGUAAAGAAGCACCGGCUAACUACGUG
rnacentral:rRNA from 1 species